GAUGAACGCUGGCGGCGUGCCUAAUACAUGCAAGUCGAGCGAACGGACGAGAAGCUUGCUUUUCUGAUGUUAGCGGCGGACGGGUGAGUAACACGUGGAUAACCUACCUAUAAGACUGGGAUAACUUCGGGAAACCGGAGCUAAUACCGGAUAAUAUUUUGAACCGCAUGGUUCAAAAGUGAAAGACGGUCUUGCUGUCACUUAUAGAUGGAUCCGCGCUGCAUUAGCUAGUUGGUAAGGUAACGGCCUACCAAGGCAACGAUGCAUAGCCGACCUGAGAGGGUGAUCAGCCACACUGGAACUGAGACACGGUCCAGACUCCUACGGGAGGCAGCAGUAGGGAAUCUUCGACAAUGGGCGAAAGCCUGACGGAGCAAUGCCGCGUGAGUGAUGAAGGCCUUCGGAUCGUAAAACUCUGUUAUUAGGGAAGAACAUAUGUGUAAGUAACUGUGCACAUCUUGACGGUACCUAAUCAGAAAGCCACGGCUAACUACGUG
rnacentral:rRNA from 1 species